rnacentral:lncRNA from 1 species
UUUCAUGAAAAAUGUCAGAAGAUGUUUACAAUGCCUCCGACAAAGUUAUUUUGUCCAAAUUUUCCUCGGACUCUGUCAAGACAGUAAGUGAUGCAAAAAUAUCUGCUGGAGCCUGUGGUGAUUUGAAGCAAAGUCAAAAAUUCACUCAGAUUAAAAAAAAAUUCAAAUUAAGGAAUGGAAACCAGAAAUUGCACAACAAGAAUUGCAAAUUUGGGCGAAAUCGGCGUAGAAACAUUCAGCAUUGCAGAAGCAAAGACAGGCGAUGUCUUCAAAUGUGUCCUCAUGUCAUCAAAGCCAAAGUUUGCAAAACAUCACCUUCACUUGGACCGAAGUCAGAUCUCAAAACAACUGCAAGUAUCAAUGCUGUUUGUAAGUCAGACGAAGGGAAUUGCUCUGUCAAAGUCAAUAGGGGAUGGAAACUGAAAAAUGUUUUUAAUAAGUUAAGAUGUCUAUCGCACAAAGUAAUCUUGGACACAAAUUUGAGUCAAAGUAAAGUCUCAAAUGAGUCGUCUGAUAAAAUAAGUAGUCUUGUGAGUAGUCAUGGUAGCUGUCGCUUAUGGAAAAGCCAAGAAAUGAGGGAAAGGUCAUCAAAAACGAUAAAUGUCACAAGCUGCUCUGACAGGACUAUCAUUCAGUCAUCGAAGUCAGUUGAACAUCGUCCCACUUCCUCAGCUUGUGCUGUUGCUCCUGAAACAAGCGAUGGCUCAAAGAAUGAUGUUCAAACUGCACACUUAAUUGAGUUCAUCCGAGAUUCAAAAUCAGUGAAAACCUUGACUCCCUUUAUCUCCAGCAAUAUUUCCGGAAAUUCCGGUAAUAGUAGACAAAUGAAGCGUAGAGACCAAAAUGAUUCUUCCUUGCAGUUGCUCCAGUUAAAUAAGUCUUGCUUUGAAUGUCUGAGUCAAGUGAAAUUGAAAACUUUAAAAUCAGCUCCAGCUUUAUUAAGAAACUUAUCUUUUAUCAAUCCAUCUGUGGUCAAAGCACCGUCAGAAAAAGAUGUGUGGAAAGUUUCAGUAGCUGUUGAUAAAGUAUGUCAAACAUCAUCACAGAUUUUACCGCUGGGAAAAGUAUCAACGAGCACCAGUUGCACUACCAACAUUUCUUAUCUGUUCAGCGACAAAGAAAUUCAGAAUGAGAUGUCCCCACUCCAUGCUUUGAAUGCUUCAGUGAAUAAAAUGUGUCAAACAGAAAGUGUUAGAAACCUAUCUAGAGCUAUAAACAAAGGCACUCAAGCAAACGAGGAAACCUGGAGGGAAACUUUGAGUGAUUUCAGUCAGCCGACAAAAAAACCAGCAGAAGCAUCCUUCAAAGAACAAGUGUCUGGGGAGGAGCAUGUUCCUGAACAGUAUGAAAGUUUUUCAUCGGAGGAAACAAUAUCUUGCGAAGGAAACUUAUCAGAUAUCAGAUGUUCGUCUUCUGCUUUUGAGCAUCAAAUCCUAGAUUAUUGUUGUUGCUCAAAAAAUUUGGACAGGAUAAGAAAGAAACUAGGUUGGCUUGAAAAUGAAAAACUGACUGAAAGAACAAAACAGAAGUGUAUAGCAGACAACGAAUGUGCAACAACUGAAAGUUGUAAACAUAAAAAGUGCAGUCAUAUUCUAGCAACCAGAGAAAAAUACACUUGCAGAAGACACCCUCCGAAGGCAUUGUACCCUCAGAACAGUAAAUCUGAGAAUGCGGUAGAAAAUCAUGAAAUUUGCACAUCUGUUGGAUAUAUUCAACAACCAUCAAUCUUGAAGUCCAGCUCUUCCUUUUUAAGAGAGGAUCCUCACAGAAACCAUGUUGACUGUCAUGCAUGUAACAUCCACAGAAACCAUGAACUAUGGGAAUCUAAGAAGUCUUGUUGUUACGAUUUUUCGUUGACUCGUGCCAACUUUUUGAAACUCUACCCGGAACCCUACAUCAAUCAUCUCUCGAACGCUGUAUCAAAUGUGCAAUUAAUAUUCCACAAAGAGGGCAAGAACCAGAAACAAUUGUAUGUCUGCCAAGAAUGCAAGAUGAAUGCUUCGUGGAAUCGACAUGCUCGUAAACACCGAUUGAGUCCAAAGUGGCGGAAAUCAAUCUCAACUUGCGAUUCUCAAACUCCUUCUUCAGCCUCUGAUGCCUAUUCUUCAUCUACUGAUGCUUGUAGCAAGGCGUUCACAAAUUCAAAGUCUUAUCACUGUAAUAAGAGCAAGCAGAUGCAGCAGAAGAAAGUUAAACGGCGUCGCAAACCCAGACAAGAAAAUUUCAGACUAAGUUACAAAGAUGUAGAAAACAACAUAUCACAGCUUGAGAUGAACCCAGAUCAGAGGACGUUGAACCAUGGGGAUGGUCAUGGCAGUAUGUUAGAUCCAUCUAAACAGUGUUCAAUGAACAGCCCCCAGCAUAAAACAACUGAUGCCUUUUUACCACCGCCACCCCCUCCACUUUAUGAGUAUCCUGCUUACAGCUGUAGGUACAAUGAAGGGGAAUACACAAAAACCUAUCCUCAUGGUCAGCGGUUCAGAGUAAAUUCACAAAAAAAAUCUCCGGAGGUCAUUGGAUCCAAAAUGAAUGAACCAAUCGGUCCACAGCAAAAGAAUACUCCUUGUAACAGAGUACAGGAAUCAUCUUCAUUAUUAAAUAAAUACCAAAUUACCAGGCAUUCAUCUCUCAAAGGCAUUGAAUCAUCUCAUUCAGAGACUUCUAAUGCUUUUGUCCAACCAAACAACCAAAAAUAUGUAACAGAAAAAGCAGGAGCAGGUUUUUCAAACUACAACAAAUCUUCCAAUCAUUUACUGAGGUACCCAGGAUUUGGCGAUUGCGUCUCAUCGCAACCAAUCACAUUCAGUCAGAAGAAGAAACAAGCCUCUGCAGAUACCAAAGUUCGAAAGAAAAUCAAAGACAAAUAUCGAAGAGAUGGAGCGUCAGUCCGAUGUUUGAUCCGAGAAGCUUUGAUAACGGAAAGAAACAACAAGUAUGGAAGGAAAAGUUUGACAGCAGAAAAAGAAGAGAAUUGUCCGUCAAGAAAUUUUUCAACAGCUGAGUCCUUUACAAGAAUGACAACUUUGCAUGGUAAAAAUCAAUCAGAUUUUUCAUCUGAAACACAUAAAAACAAUGUUAAAUCAUGCUCCUUCAAUAAAAAGCCAGCAAACGAACAUACCAUUCCUGGCGCAUUCCAAUCAUCUAAAAACACAUUCUGUCAGUUGUCAGAUACGUCGGUGAUAUCAGAAACUGCCAUGGAAGUAUCAGCCUGGGCCCACUUCAAUGACAAACAUCGUAAAAUUUUCAGAAGUGAGAGUAUGCAAUGGCCUAAUAUUUCAAACUCAGCGAAGAGGGAAGUUACCAAACGCUUCAGUGAAGAGUUCACAAGUCAGCGACCUGUUUUUGAGGAGAAACAUUCAAGCACUAGAAUAGAGAACGACACUCAAGAAAGCUUCCGAAAUGAGACUGUAAAAACGUUACCACCGUCUGGUCAUGAUUUGAGGACCAAUGAAGAUUUAUCUUCCUCUAAUGAGUCACUGUCCUUAUACUUCAGGUUAAUGGAUGUCAUAGCAAAAAAACGACAGCAGUUCAAAAAGGAAGAAAGGAGGAGGAUGAAAUUUCAGGAACCAAAACUUAUAAACAAAACUAUUGUAGCCGCAAAUAAAGACUGAAAUAAAAUGUAAUUAUUAUUCCUACACUUGGAAUUUUUAUUGCUCCUCCUUCAUCAACGUAUAUUAACGUAUAUAACCUGUACUUAGUUUCCUUCCUCUAUAAAUUGAAUGGCUGUGAGGACAAGGCUUAUAAGCAUAGUGUUUUGUAAUUAUUUUGGGAAAUACAUAUGUGUUCUUAAGUGUCAAAAUUACAUGGAGCCUUUUGGCGAAAUGAAAGUUCAAAAUCACAAUUUUAUGUUUAAAAAUUGGAUUUUGGUAGUGAUAUCUUCACAUAAUGUAUUUCAAGACUAGUUCUGGUUGAAAUCGCUAAUAUCUCAAUUUUUUCAUUAACUGCUUUCAUGCGCCUUGACUUCCGAGUCCUUCAACUGCAGUUUUUCUGUGCGCUAGUUUAUGUAAAUAAUUUAAACCCUUCUCAUAGUCGCAGGUAUUUUUGGCAAAAACGGAUUAGGAAUGUUAGCCUCCUUUUUCAAUAGAAAUAAUUCGUGGAAGUCUUUGCAAGUCAGCAACACAGGUGAUUUGGUGGAGAUUCAGAGAAAUAUUAAGCUACAAGUCAAGCAACUAUCCUGGGACUCGCCAAAAAAUUCAAAGUCCCUGUUGCCAGCAUUGCGAUUUCUUUCUGAUAUUGCAUAACGAACCUUAUAUAAUAUUAAUGCACAUGAAACUGGGAAAAGUAAAUUUCUAAAAAUUUAUGAGGUAAAACUGAAAAUUUUUACUUUUUUAAACUUUC